rnacentral:rRNA from 1 species
UACGUAGGGUGCGAGCGUUGUCCGGAAUUAUUGGGCGUAAAGAGCUCGUAGGCGGUUUGUCGCGUCUGCUGUGAAAACCCGAGGCUCAACCUCGGGCCUGCAGUGGGUACGGGCAGACUAGAGUGCGGUAGGGGAGAUUGGAAUUCCUGGUGUAGCGGUGGAAUGCGCAGAUAUCAGGAGGAACACCGGUGGCGAAGGCGGUUAGCUGGGCAGUUGCUGACACUGAGGCGCGACAGCGUGGGGAGCAAACAGG